ensembl:snoRNA
GACACAUGAUGUACAUUCUCACGAUGGUCUUCCAAGCCCCGUUGGUGAAGGGGCCUUGACGAGAGCGGCCAAGAGGCCUUAACUGAAGUCAGCCC